CGAGGACUCCUUUAAAUAGACU
rnacentral:miRNA from 1 species